rnacentral:rRNA from 1 species
AUUGAACGCUGGCGGCAUGCCUUACACAUGCAAGUCGAACGGUAACAGGUUAAGCUGACGAGUGGCGAACGGGUGAGUAAUGUAUCGGAACGUGCCCAGUCGUGGGGGAUAACUGCUCGAAAGAGCAGCUAAUACCUCAUACGACCUGAGGGUGAAAGCGGGGGAUCGCAAGACCUCGCGCGAAGGGAGCGGCCGAUAGCUGAGGAGGUAGUUGGUGAGGGAAAGGCUCACCAAGCCGACGAUCGGUAGCUGGUCUGAGAGGACGACCAGCCACACUGGGACUGAGACACGGCCCAGACUCCUACGGGAGGCAGCAGUGGGGAAUUUUGGACAAUGGGCGCAAGCCUGAUCUAGCCAUGCCGCGUGCGGGAAGAAGGCCUUCGGGUUGUAACCCGCUUUUGUCAGGGAAGAAAAGGUUCUGGCUAAUACCUGGGACUCAUGACGGUACCUGAAGAAUAAGCACCGGCUAACUACGUGCCAGCCGCCGCCGUAAAAC